GCUCUGACUUCAUUGCACUACUGUAUCAGACAACUAGUAGUGCAAUAGUAUUGUCAAAGC
ensembl:miRNA microRNA 301a